rnacentral:tRNA from 1 species
AGUUAUUAUAAAAUAGAUUUUGAAAAUCUAUAUUAACGUUUAAUCGUAAAAUAGCUU